rnacentral:sRNA from 1 species
AAAUAUGAUUUUGUUAAGUUGUAUGUAGGUAUUGAAUAUUAUUUAUCA